GACUAACGCUGGCGGCGUGCCUAACACAUGCAAGUCGAACGAAGUAGCAAUACUUAGUGGCAGACGGGUGAGUAACGCGUAGACAAUGUGCCCUCUUGCGGGGGAUACCGUUCCGAAAGGAACGUUAAUACCGCAUAAAACGGCCUGGUGGCAUCACCGGACCGUCAAACUUCCGGGGCGGGAGGAGCAGUCUGCGUUCUAUCAGCUAGUUGGUGAGGUAAUGGCUCACCAAGGCUACGACGGAUAACUGGUCUGAGAGGAUGAUCAGUCACACUGGAACUGAGACACGGUCCAGACUCCUACGGGAGGCAGCAGUGAGGAAUAUUGCGCAAUGGGCGAAAGCCUGACGCAGCGACGCCGCGUGGAGGAAGAAGGCCUUCGGGUUGUAAACGUCCUGUCAGUGGGAAGAGAAUGGACGGUACCCACUGAGGAAGCUUCGGCUAACUACGUAGCCAGCAGCCGCGGU
rnacentral:rRNA from 1 species